UGGCGGCGAUAGCGCGGUGGUCCCACCUGACCCCAUGCCGAACUCAGAAGUGAAACGCCGUAGCGCCGAUGGUAGUGUGGGGUCUCCCCAUGCGAGAGUAGGGAACUGCCAGGCU
rnacentral:rRNA from 2 species